rnacentral:rRNA from 1 species
UACAGAGGGGGCAAGCGUUGUUCGGAAUUACUGGGCGUAAAGGGCGCGUAGGCGGCCCGCUAAGUCGAACGUGAAAUCCCCGAGCUCAACUCGGGAACUGCGUCCGAUACUGGCGGGCUUGAAUCCGGGAGAGGGAUGCGGAAUUCCAGGUGUAGCGGUGAAAUGCGUAGAUAUCUGGAGGAACACCGGUGGCGAAGGCGGGUCUCUGGGCCGAUACUGACGCUGAGGAGCGAAAGCGUGGGGAGCGAACAGG